AUAUGGUUUAGUUAAGAGGCAAAUAUUAAUUCACUUUCUAUAAUGACUGAAGCCUUAUUGAGGGGACAAAGUCACCUGUCAUCAAUUGUUCUCCAAGCCGCUUCACACAUUC